AUAAAUAUCUUUUAAAAUUAAAUAAUUCAGUUACCAUAGGGAUAACAGCGUAAUAAUUUUCUAAAGCUCUUAUUUAAAAUAUAGAUUACGACCUCGAUGUUGAAUUAAUAACCUAACUAAGGCAAAACUUAGAAUAGGAAGUCUGUUCGACUUUUAAAGAAUUACAUGAUUUGAGUUCAGACCGGUGUAAGCCAGGUCGGUUUCUAUCUUCUAGAAAAAUUUUUACAGUACGAAAGGACCUAAGAAUCUAAUA
rnacentral:rRNA from 1 species